rnacentral:rRNA from 1 species
AGUGAACGCUGGCGGUAGGCCUAACACAUGCAAGUCGAACGGCAGCACAGUAAGAGCUUGCUCUUACGGGUGGCGAGUGGCGGACGGGUGAGGAAUACAUCGGAAUCUACUUUUUCGUGGGGGAUAACGUAGGGAAACUUACGCUAAUACCGCAUACGACCUACGGGUGAAAGCAGGGGAUCUUCGGACCUUGCGCGAUUGAAUGAGCCGAUGUCGGAUUAGCUAGUUGGCGGGGUAAAGGCCCACCAAGGCGACGAUCCGUAGCUGGUCUGAGAGGAUGAUCAGCCACACUGGAACUGAGACACGGUCCAGACUCCUACGGGAGGCAGCAUUGGGGAAUAUUGGACAAUGGGCGCAAGCCUGAUCCAGCCAUACCGCGUGGGUGAAGAAGGCCUGCGGGUUGUAAAGCCCUUUUGUUGGGAAAGAAAAGCAGCAGGUUAAGACCCCGCUGUUCGGACGGUACCCAAAGAAGAAGCACCGGCGAACUGCGU